rnacentral:rRNA from 1 species
GGAUGCGAUCAUACCAGCACUAAAGCACCGGAUCCCAUCAGAACUCCGCAGUUAAGUCCCAUCAGAACUCCGAAGUUAAGCGUGCUUGGGCGAGAGUAGUACUAGGAUGGGCGAGAGUAGUACUAGGAUGGGUGACCUCCUGGGAAGUCCUCGUGUUGCAUCCC